rnacentral:rRNA from 1 species
CCCCUAGAUGUUCUGGGCCGCACGCGCGCUACACUGAACAGUUCAACAAGUCUUAACCUUGGCCGAUAGGUCUGGGUAAUCUUUGAACGCUGUUCGUGAUUGGGAUAGACCUUUGCAAUUAUGGGUCUUCAACGAGGAAUUCCUAGUAAACGCAAGUCAUCAGCUUGCAUUGAUUACGUCCCUGCCCUUUGUACACACCGCCCGUCGCACCUACCGAUUGAAUGGUUUAGUGAGGUCUCCUGAUUGGCGUUUUGCAGCUGGAAACAGCAGUGGGAUGCUGAAAAGUUGAUCAAACUUGAUCAUUUAGAGGAAGUAAAAGUCGUAACA